rnacentral:rRNA from 1 species
CUGGAAUUCGCCCUUAGAGUUUGAUCCUGGCUCAGAACGAACGCUGGCGGCAGGCUUAACACAUGCAAGUCGAACGCCCCCGCAAGGGGGAGUGGCAGACGGGUGAGUAACACGUGGGAACAUACCCUUCGGUUCGGAACAACGUCUGGAAACGGACGCUAAUACCGGAUACGGCCUUUUGGGCGAAAGAUUGAUCGCCGAAGGAUUGGCCCGCGUUCGAUUAGCUGGAUGGCGGGGUAACGGCCCACCAUGGCGACGAUCGAUAGCUGGUCUGAGAGGAUGGCCAGCCACAUUGGGACUGAGACACGGCCCAAACUCCUACGGGAGGCAGCAGUGGGGAAUAUUGGACAAUGGGCGCAAGCCUGAUCCAGCCAUGCCGCGUGAGUGAUGACGGCCUUAGGGUUGUAAAGCUCUUUCGCACGCGACGAUAAUGACGGUAGCGUGAGAAGAAGCCCCGGCUAACUUCGUGCCAGCAGCCGCGGUAAUACGAAGGGGGCUAGCGUUGUUCGGAAUCACUGGGCGUAAAGGGUGCGUAGGCGGGCAUUUAAGUCAGGGGUGAAAUCCCGAGGCUCAACCUCGGAACUGCCCUUGAUACUGGGUGUCUUGAGUCCGGAAGAGGUGAGUGGAACUGCGAGUGUAGAGGUGAAAUUCGUAGAUAUUCGCAAGAACACCGGUGGCGAAGGCGGCUCACUGGUCCGGAACUGACGCUGAGGCACGACAGCGU